UACGGAGGGGGCUAGCGUUGUUCGGAAUUACUGGGCGUAAAGCGCACGUAGGCGGCUUUGUAAGUUAGAGGUGAAAGCCCAGGGCUCAACCCUGGAAUUGCCUUUAAGACUGCAUCGCUUGAACAUCGGAGAGGUAAGUGGAAUUCCGAGUGUAGAGGUGAAAUUCGUAGUUAUCGGGAGGAACACCAGUGGCGAAGGCGGAGACCUGGGCCAAUACUGACGCUGAGGUGCGAAAGCGUGGGGAGCAAACAGG
rnacentral:rRNA from 1 species